rnacentral:rRNA from 1 species
AUCGCAUGAUCCGGUGUGAAAAACUCCGGUGGUAUGAGAUGGACCCGCGUCUGAUUAGCCAGUUGGCAGGGUAACGGCCUACCAAAGCGACGAUCAGUAGCCGACCUGAGAGGGUGACCGGCCACAUUGGGACUGAGACACGGCCCAAACUCCUACGGGAGGCAGCAGUGGGGAAUAUUGCACAAUGGGGGAAACCCUGAUGCAGCGACGCCGCGUGAGCGAAGAAGUAUUUCGGUAUGUAAAGCUCUAUCAGCAGGGAAGAAGAAUGACGGUACCUGACUAAGAAGCACCGGCUAAAUACGUGCCAGCAGCCGCGGUAAUACGUAUGGUGCAAGCGUUAUCCGGAUUUACUGGGUGUAAAGGGAGCGCAGGCGGUGCGGCAAGUCUGAUGUGAAAGCCCGGGGCCUAACCCCGGUACUGCAUUGGAAACUGUCGUACUAGAGUGUCGGAGGGGUAAGUGGAAUUCCUAGUGUAGCGGUGAAAUGCGUAGAUAUUAGGAGGAACACCAGUGGCGAAGGCGGCUUACUGGACGAUAACUGACGCUGAGGCUCGAAAGCGUGGGGAGCAAACAGGAUUAGAUACCCUGGUAGUCCACGCCGUA